rnacentral:ncRNA from 1 species
CUUUAUUAAGGGCAAAUUUUACGAAAGUAAAAGACGCAAAGCUACGGGCCUAAAACAUUUAUUGUCAUGGUAGCCGGGUUGCCAAG